CGGAGGGUGCAAGCGUUAUCCGGGAUUCACUGGGUUUAAAGGGUGCGUAGGCGGGCAGGUAAGUCCGUGGUGAAAUCUCUGAGCUUAACUCAGAAACUGCCAUGGAUACUAUUUGUCUUGAAUGUUGUGGAGGUAAGCGGAAUAUGUCAUGUAGCGGUGAAAUGCUUAGAUAUGACAUAGAACACCAAUUGCGAAGGCAGCUUACUACACAAAUAUUGACGCUGAGGCACGAAAGCGUGGGGAUCAAACAGGAUUAGAUACCCUGGUAGUCCACGCCCUAAACGAUGAUUACUCGACAUCAGCGAUACACUGUUGGUGUCUGAGCGAAAGCAUUAAGUAAUCCACCUGGGAAGUACGAUCGCAAGAUUG
rnacentral:rRNA from 1 species